AGCUCCAGGAUGAGCAGCUGCUCCUGCGGCGUGAUGUUGCCUCGCCGGAGGUCGGGGCGGAGGUAGUUCAGCCACCGGAGCCGGCAGCUCUUGCCUGUGCGUUUCAGCCCUGCAUGACAACAACCAAAAACCAAGAUUAAUUUUUCUCUUCACGUCACAUCAAAAUAUUCACAUGUAGUACACCAUUGCUAAAACAUAGUAUGCAGCAACUAAUCAAUUAUAUACUAAUGCAGUUAUACGCAUACGACGACGGCAGGAUGGAUGAUGUAACGGGGGAGGGAUGAGCAACUAAAAAUAUCCCUAUGAACAAUGCUAGCUACGCUGCUAACCACUAAAAAUUCUCUCCCCUUUCCCUCUCACUCACUAUAGCUUCUAGCUUAGCUGGUUGGCUGCUAGAGAACUCAGGGUAGACUCGUAGCUAUCUGUGUUUCCAGAAAUCAGCAUGUAGAUGCAAGAGCGACUGGUACUUUGCGUCCUAUAAUUGCUCAUCAGGCUAAGCAUGUACGGACACUCAGCUCAUGGAAUUGAUCGAUGUGUGCGUGCAUGUAAUUUAUGGUGGAAUUGGGAGCUCGAUCGAUCGAGAUCGCGAUCCUACCUGCUGAUCGGGCGAGCGAGUUCCAGCGGCCCUCGCCGUGCGCGGCGAUGUAGUUGACGAGCAGGAGGUCCUCCUCCACCGUCCACGGCCCGCGACGCAGGUCGCCGCCCAUCACCUCCUCCUCGCUGCUCGCGUCCCUCUCGUGCGCCAUGUCCAUCGUCGACCGAUCCGGAUCAAAAUCCCUCCCUUUCGAGUCUCGAUCGAUCCUCGCGGGCCAGUCGAUUGAUCGGAUAGAUCAAGCUAGUAGCUAGAUCGAGCUCAGGAGAUUCUGGUUGUUGUGCUUUGGUAGAGGGGUACUAUAUAUGCGCCGUUGCUGUGCUCUCUGGAUAGAUGGAUGGAUGGAUGGAUGUGUGCUGCGAUGAAACUGGCGGGAGACGGGGAGGGAGGUGUCGGGGUUUAUAUAGACGGGAGGAGCGCGAGGAGGAAGAAGAAGAAAGAAGAAAGAGGCGGGUAGGCUGGGCUGGACGACUUGGAAAGAAAGGACCAUGUGGGGGAGAACGCCGCAACCGGGGAGAUUAGUUUACGCCUUUUUUGAAGUUUUUUUUUCCCUUCUUCUUCUUUAAAAGCCAAAAGUUUAGGCGAUUAACCCCCAUCGUGGUUAAUUAGGGAUAAUCAUGCGAUUAGGAUUAAUUAACCACGCCGCUAAUUUAAUCGCCCGCGUACGUACGUACACGGGUUGGAGAGACUCGGGGGACUUUUGCGGUGGGUUUGACCCGUUGACUCGUCCAGCUGUACAGGCGUACAGCUCACUCGCGCGCGCUACACGCGCUCGCGCCGUCUGCCUACGCGGGCCUCUGCCGCUGGGGCCCACCUGGGUCCAUUUCUGUCAGCCAGUUGGGAGCUACCUCAGCUUCUAGUUCCGGUGGGAAAAGAGAUACGGAGUAACUACGUAUACCUUAUAGCCAUGGAAUACACAACUGAUGAUGGUACAGAUAUACUGCCACUAGCGUAUACUACUACUUACUACUACUAGCAGUAUUGGAGCAUCUGUGGCAAAUGGGCACAAUAAUUGCUGCUGCACAAAUCACAAAUACUAGUACGUAUACUAUCGGUAGUGUAGUACACCGGUACGGACAAGUAGUGGUAUUAUCGCAAACAUGCGUGUACACCUCUAGUACAGUGCGUCUGUGCAUCACCAUGGUUCUACACUCCAGUCGUAGGUGGUAGCUGGAGUAUAUUAUAAAAUAUCAGGGCAUCCACAAUAGUUAUCUAUAGACUCUCUAUAAGAUAUCCAUAUCAGUAUAUUUUCCUACUUGAAAGAGAUUAAAUGAAGAGAGAGAGAGUAAAACUAUCUAAUAACUUGGAGAUAGUCUAUAGAGAAAAACGAGGUAAUGGAUGAGAGAGCUAUAGAUAUCCAUGUAGACAUACUAUUGGGAUGAUUUACUAUUAGUCUAGUCUAUUGUUGAGAUGUAUAUAUUUUAUAGAGAGCACCUUACUUUACCAUUGCGGGUGCUCUCAGGUUAUAUAUAGGGUUCACAUAACCGCUUGUGAAACUUGGAGGUUUCAAAGAUGGAUAGAGUUGAUGAUCCGCUUAGUAAGCCAACAGAAGUUAAUAAAAUUAAACCAAAAUUUAAACUAUCUGACAAUUUUUUGAAUUUAUGUGGUUUUGAAAGGACUCCGUGUGCGAAAGGGCUUGUAGCCUAAUGGUUACAAGAGCCUCAGUAGCACCUGAGGUCCUGGGUUCGACUCUCCAUGAGAGCGAAUUUUCCAGGAUUCAACAGCGUUGUGCUUUCAGUGGUAGGCGAUGUUUGUAAACCUGGUUAUAAGUCCUAUCCUAUCCGAGGUGUUUGGAGCUAGCACAUAAACUUCAGCUGACACCAUAAGAGGUGUAUGAGAUUAUGUACUAUUUUCAGUCAAGAAUAUUUGAUGUUAACGUUGUUAUAUUAGUGGCACUACUGUCAAAUUUUAUCGACUAAAUAAAUUACUAUCUUAUUAAAAAUAUCGUAUUAAUUGGAUAAAGAAUUUGUUGGAUUAUAGUGAGUCAUGAUUAAAUUAAUUGUGUUACAUACGUACAUCUCUCUAAGAGUUAUAUACCAAAUCGGAUUCUACACUUAAAUUUAGCAUAGCUCAAUAUUGCACACAAAAACAAGCUACUUACUUCCUCCGUAAAAAAAAAAGACAAACCAUGAAUUCCCGUGUCAACGUUUGACUGUCCGUCUUAUAUGAAAUUUUUUUAUAAUUAGUAUUUUCAUUGUUGUUAGAUGAUAAAACAUGAUUAAUACUUUAUGUGUGACUUAUCUUUUUAAUUUUUUUCAUAUUUUUUCCAAAUAAGACGGACGGUCAAACGUUAGACAUGGAAACCAGAGUUUGUCUUUUUUUUUUUUUAUGGGACGGAGGGAUUAUGUGUGAUGUCUGAAAGAAGCCAGAAACUUCAGCUGCCAACCCAGUAGAUGAGAUUGCUUGUACAUAUUGAGCAGCAAAAUUGACUUGAUCAGUCUCAGAAUUUCGACUAUUCCAACCAGGAGAUCAUUGUUGGUGGCCGAAACGUUCGGCAAAUGUUCAUCUCAGAGCCACCGCCUCUUCGCCGAGCUUUCCCCGUAUGAGCUCCCCAGGUCCCCUCUGCGCCGCGCCGCCGCCUUAUCUAUCCAUCAGGAAGAAGAAUAUCCCGAAAGAUCUUCGCAUGAUUUGCGACGAUCGAGACGAACAAGAUCGCCUCACCUCUCCAGACGCGUGCAGCUGCAGCAAAAGCCUAGCUGGCUGGCUAUAGCCGCUGCAUGCUACGGCUAAACUGAUCGAUCGAUAUCGACAGCGAUCUGUAAUUCCCCUGCACACACACACAACACCCCCUCACGCGUCAAUUAAUACACAUCGUCCAGACGACGUUACGUACGUACAUAUACGCGUUUGUCACACUAGGGCGGCAGCAAUGCAUUUCCGCUCGAUCGAUCGAUCGAUCGAUUCAACUUUCGCGGUGCAACAGUGUGAAAAUUGCUGUACAACAGCAGGCAGCAGCUAAAGUUGAUAUACACAGCGCCCCCCGCUGCACUGUUUCCACCGUACAUCGCGCGCGCGAGGAGGAGGAUUUUUGACCCAUUUUGCUCGGAUUUUAGCUCCGACAAACCGAUCGAUCGAUUGACACCGCGAGCGAUGCGAGAACCAGCGGUUUUUUUUGUCAAGACGUGGAAGACAAACUCCACACAUGCGGUUUGUUUUUUCAAAACAAGAUAAUUGAAAGGUACUAGUAAAUCGGUACAAGUGUUCUAGUAUUAAUUGGGCGGAGUCGUCCUUGACUAUUUAGGCUGCGUUCGUUGUGAUGAGUUAUGGGGGAUUGGGUGAGAAAAGGACAUCGUAUUCCGCGUGCACGCUUCCCAAACUACUAAACGGUGUAUUUUUUGCAAAAAUUUUCUAUAGGAAAGUUGCUUUAAAAAAUCAUAUUAAUCCAUUUUUAAAAUUUAAAAUAGUUAAUACUCAAUUAAUCAUGUGCUAAUGGCUCACCUCGUUUUGCGUAUCUUCCCAAUCUUCUCAAUCCCCCUCUCCUCAAACUCACCCUUAGUACUACUAGUAUAGAGAUGAUGGGAGAGUCAACCCCAACUGGCAAGAGUCAUAUUCUCUCAUUGAUCUGCCGGGGUCUGUGUGAAACAAAUUUAAAAGUCCCAAGUUGCAGCUUUGUAUACGCAGGAAAAAAACGGAUGCUGAGAAGAAGAGAUCGGUGUGGUCGGAUUCCACACCGGGGUUGAAAACUUUGGCAGCUUGAAUUGGAUUCUUAUGUGCCGUUUUUUCAACACAUGGAGGUGCUGUUUUUUUAAAUUUAUUUUCCAACUCUCUGUUUCUAUUUUAUCCCCUGUUUUUUCAACACAAAUCAGUUUCAGGAUGGUACACUUGCUCACUUGCUUGAGAAUCCGGUUUGUUUUUUAAGCUUUGACAGGCUGCUGCAGCGGUAGAGUAGUAUAGUAUUGUUUUUAUUUCGAACGGUCAGCAGUAUAGUAUUGUUGGUUUGGAUUUUGUCCAUGCACUUGGCGACUUGUAAAUUUGUAAUUUUAAACGAGAAACCGGACCAAAUCUGCCAAUCAGAUGGCGUCCACGGUUUGAUUCCCCUGCCAGCUUGGCCUAGUCUGUUUUGUAUUUGCAGAGCUAUGCUGAUUGCUGUAGUUCUAGUAGUUGUAGUAGCUCGCAAAUAAAGGUCAAAGUGUUUGCUGAGUUGGACUGGCGUGCUCGUUGACCCCCAACUACGGCCAAGGCAAAGCCACUUGUGGUUAAUAUAUUCAUAAUAUUUCUGUUCUUAUGCGAGAGGUCGAUCGAUCUAAUCUAUGUCGAUCACUGUCUUCAUGUGACCUGCAGCAACGCAUAUGCGUACAACAGUUCGUGUCCGUGAUGGUCAGUACAUCGAACAUUGCUCUCGUUUUGGCUCUUCACGCACAUUCUCAUGUGCGUUUUUUUUUAAAUGUUGGAGUGUACAAGUAAAUACUCGUCCUAUCUUAAAAUAAAGGAAAAAAAGUUCGGAUAAUCUUCUAGAAUAAUCGUGGAAGUAUGAAUUAUCCUUCUCAAUUUUUCAUACAGGACGAAUUACCCCUCCUCUCACUCUACAGUGGUUUUGAUUCUACAUGGCACACACACACAUAGUAGUCCAGUCAACAUAAAAAUAAAAAAUGGUGAGGCCCACUUAUCGGUUAUGUCUUUUCUCUCGAUCACCACAUGUGGGUCCUACCUUUUUUAUAUUUUCAUAUUGACUGGACUGCUACGUGUCACUAUUACAAAAACAGUCAAAUAAGGUGUUGGUUGGGAACCGGCUAUAGGUGUCGGUUUUCCAACCGUUACCUAUUGGCCGGCAUCUAUGCGAAUCAUAUAGUUGCCGGUUUAAAGGUGCCGGUUCUUUAUUUUUUAAACUGUGGGAGGUCGGAAAAGGUUAAUAGGCGUCGGUUUUAAAUAAAUCGACACCUAUAAACCAGUCCCUAUGAGGGUUUUUGUAGUAGUGUGUGUCACGUAGAAUCAAAACUGCUCUGGAGUUUGUUGAGGAUUAAUACAUCUGGUAUAAAAAAAAAUUCGAGAGUAAAGAAUGAUUUUUUUAAUUGAGGGGGGUAAUUCGUAUUGCCACAAUAGUUGAGGGGUAAUUCAGAAUUUUUUAAAAAUAUAAGAAUCAAGAUGUAUAGAUUCGUAUAUAAAAGUUGAUUUUUUUCCAUAACAAAGGAAGUAGGGCAGUUUAGUAGAUACGGUCAAGUUGUGUAAUGCAACGAGAUUUCAAACUUUUUGUUGCACGGAAUUGGACUCUACCUUGAAAUUUUCUAGUAUUCCAAAUAUAGACAAAAUAUCCACACUACCGAACCCUAUGGAUUUAUUUUACUGUAGCUUAUAUUGGAUAAUAUACAACUUUUGGGAUUGAUAUUGUGAUCAUAGUGAGAAGGCUUGUUGCUUAGGGUAAAAAAAAUAUUUAAAAAGGAUAUUACCCAGGUGUACAGCAUAACCACUUCUGACCAUGAUUUUUCCUUCCAAGAACUUCUAGAUCUGUAGUACCUCCGGUUCCUAACCAAAAAACAAACAAACAAAUUUGUAGCCACUUGAUCAGAGUUUAUAAACAAAUUUGUAACCGCAAAAUUAAUUAAUAUCGAUCACAUCGUACUUGCCUUGAACUCUCAAUCUAAUAAUUUUCUAAAGUUAAAAUAGUAAUAACCAGCAAAUUAUAAACUCAAAGUGGACUCACUAUUAAUAAACAUAAAAUUUAAUAUGGUGUGAGGUCUUAAUUUUAUUUUAUUUCUUAAUAAAAUGAUUUCUAUAUUAAAAAUAUUAAAUAUAAAAUUGCACUUGGCUUGAGUCUUGAUUUUAGUUUAAAUUUGGUAAUUUCAAAAGUCAGAAUCUAUUAUAUGAAAUUGUACAUUUCUUGGACUAUAAUUUUAGUAUGAUAGUACCAAUUUAAUUCCAAAAUUCAGUAUUAAUGGGCAAACUGUAAUUGAGAUGAUUAAAUUAUUCUUCUUUUAUUCUAACUGUAUAUUUUCGAAGGUACAAAAGCCAGCGACGAAUCCUUAACCUUACUGAAUCCCUGCUAAAUACGCACCCUCAUCAAGUCAUCUGUGCAUUGUUUGUACCAACCAGGAUUUAAUCCAUCUUAUAUAAAUGAGGUUUGUCAUGCAUAUGCAUCCUUUAUAAAUGAUCCAAUUAAAAUGGAUGUUCAAAUUUAUUUUCUGUUUCUCCGAUCAAUAUGUGAUUGUGCUCGAGAUUUCCAGUUGAUAUACUUCCUCCAUCCAACUGUCCAUCUUUUAUUAUGUAUUUUUAUAAUAUUUUAAAAGAUGAUAUAUUAAUUACCAAAGUGCUUUGCAUGCCACAUAUAACCAUCCUUACUUUUACUGGAUAAAAAAACAAAUUUAUUUCAACUAAAAAGAUACGCGGCGAGAUUUUUUUAGUUGAUCUUAUCAAGUCGUUUCCUUUCAACUUUCUUUUUUGCAGAUGGGAAAAUGACGAGUCGCCUGAGUUGAGGAGGAUAAGCUGCUGUGGCAGCCUGGCAGGAGGCCGGCAUCACGUAUACAGGCACGACCACAUGCAGAGGACAACAGUGGAACGUUGAUUCCGACCACCCAUUUUGAUGACACGUGGAAAAUCUGCAUGCAUGGGGACUAAUAAAAAAUAAAAUAAUGCAUAGAUAUGCACUGGGGGCGAUCUCAGCCACAAUAAUCUUUUCGGUGCCUAAAUUAUGUAAAACCCCCCGUUUUUCUCAUCAAUAUCGUUUCGCUUUUCGGCGCCCAGUGCUUCUUUAUGGACUAUGGUACUUGUGAUCAUUGAUCGACCACUCGCCGUUAGAAGAAUGUUGAUGAAGUGGAAAUCCGGUCCAUUUCCCCCUUUUUAUAUAUAUCGUAAUGUUUUAUCCACUAAUGCGGCGCAUUCCAACGGAAAUUAAAGAAAAAAAAUUCAUAGUUACCAUUCUUAAUAUUAAUCUAAGAAUUCAUAUCCAUGUUGGAAUUUUAUAUCUUCUCCUCAUGCUACUGUAGUUGAAAUAAAUAUUCACCGUUUGAUGGUUAUAUGUAGGAGAUAGUGGUGGUAGCUAGCUAUGGUAGGAGAUGAUAAUUCAUCAUUCACCAUUACCACUUAUCUCUCCCUUCGAAAAUAUAAUCAUUUUUAGAUUUCGACACGGUCUUCGAGAUACUACUUUGACCAAUAAUAUGUAUAGAAGUAAAAUAUUUUAAAUAAAAAGAGUUGCAUAUUAUGAUAAUUUGUUUAAUAAUAAAUCUAGUAAUAUCAAUUUUACAUGAUAGAUCUUUUCUAUUUUUUUACUUUUAAUAGUCAAAGUUAAAAAUAUUUGACUUGGCACUAUACUAAAAUACUUAUAUUUUGGGACGGAGAGAGUAAGUCUUUUCAAGGAGUACAAAUUUUUCUAGUUUAUGCUUUAUCGUCCAUCAAAUAUUUACAGAAGUGGUUAAAAAAUAAUGUAUAUGUAGCAAUGAUAAUCGAAAUUCCUAUCUCUCAACGCUGAUAAAGUGAAGGAUGAUGUAAUGUAGGGUGAAAUUUAUUUAUUUUUUCUUUUGUAGAGGUGGGGAGGACAACGACGACAUGGGUGAGCUCGUGAUCUACCUCUUCUCGAACGUGGUAUGGUCGUGGGAAGGAGAAGAUAAGACGAUAACGUUACUAUUUAUGCACAAAUCUUGAUGCAGUUUACAAAAUCAAGUGAAAAUUUGCGGUAUUUUUGGGUGAAACUAGACAGUAAAAAAAAAAAAACUUAUACUGCUACGCGCUACUACCUACAGGAUGAUUCCAAGUUUGUCGCCCCAUUUUAAUGAUCAAUAACACACAGUGAGUCCGCUAGUUUCUUAGCCUUAAACUAAGGAAAGUAUCAUGUAUGGCCUGUCUUUUGUGCAACCUAUAGCUAGCUCGUGUGUUCCAUUGGCAAGGCGACAGCUCCGGUCUCAAAAGAGCCCUCCAAGGACAAGGAGAGCCGGCCGCAAUGGCGAUCGAAUAGUACCGUCCAUUAUUGUAGAGUAUACAUGUACUAUCUCCUAAACUACUAUUGCUACUUCCAUAGCUGAAGUUAAAGUGAAGCCACAAUUAGUUUUUUUUUUUCAUGGCAAUCGUAACCCACGUUUUCGAAUCCCAGAACUAAAAAAAAAGUACAAUAUAAUCUCGCUGAAAAACUAAUCGUCGUGGCCUCAUAUAAAUCAGGCACGAUUGCGUCGGCGACGAGUAAAUUAAAAUAAAGAGUGCAGAGACAGAGAGAGAGAGAUGCAUGGCUAGCUCGUGCUUAGCUUUUUCGUCAGUGUUAUGUUGCAGCUAGCUAUAAUAUAUAUAUAUAUAUAUAUAUAUAUAUAUAUAUAUAUAUAUAUAUAUAUAUAUAUAUAUAUAUAUAUAUAGACAUACACAAGUAUGUAACGGCUAAUGGCUUAGUGGGAGACACAUAAGAUUAGCAGCGUGUUGUUAGUGGAAAAGCGAUCGAGAGCUCAUGCAUAAUUAAUUAGUGACAAACGUGUUAAUGUUCGAUCCAGGAAGCACUAGUUUGUGGGUCAGUAUUUGUAGGCUUCAAAGGGCUCAGGGGUACAAAAGCUGCAAGUAUAAUAACCUGUUUCAGGUAGUUUCGGCCGAGCACUUUACGUGUUCCAAUCCAGGAGGCGGCUGCACAUCAUCGACAAAGUCGUAGUAGAAUUAACCUGGGAAGUGUUCUGUUGAUCAGCUUAUAAUAUAGAUCACAUGCAUAUCUCUACUGGUUUUAAUUUUGUCUUAAUAUACGCAUGACAAGUUAUUGCCAGUUCUGGUGCUAGCAAAACAGCAUAUAUAUAUAUAUAUAUAUAUAUAUAUGGUGAAAUGUUCGUUUAGAAUCUCAAUUCAUGGGCGUUAACUAGGAGAUAUGGAACGAAAGGAACCGGAGAACUUUCCAACACAAGGAGUUGCCGGCGCUAACUCUGCUAGCCAAGAUAAAGGAGGAAGCAAAAACAUGGGGGUUGGCGGGCGCAAAAAAUCUCGCCGCCUGGUUGACAAUGUAACUGCCUAUAGUUAGGGCCACGGCCCUAGGUUUUUUGUUUUCUGUACUUUAUCCUUGUUUGUACAGUUUUCGUCUCCUCUAUUCAAUGAAAUUGACGGCCUCGUCGAUUCGUUCAAAAAAAAAUUCAUGGGUAGAUGCUACAAAUUAAACAAAAUAAAAUGCAACAGAUAGUGUCCCAAAAGGGGCACUACAUGUAUAGGAGCCAUUUUAUAUAUAGAUGCUGAAAAUAAGGUGUUAAAAAAUGAAAAGAAAUCCGGGAUGAAAGGAACAUCCCUAAGCUUAAGAACAGGCUCAAGAAUAUGUCCCUUAAAGCAAGCACCACUUGUUUGAUAUGCUUAGCAUCAAGUAGGACAACAAUUUUUUUUAUAAAAAGUUUCUAUGUAGGCACAUCAUCUUGGCUAGCUAUUCCUUCCAUUUUUUUUCUCCUACUGAUGUACUGAAACACCAACAAAUUAAAGUUGCUCAUAUCCUUUUCCAACCCUUUUCCUUUUUCUUGUUUUUGUUUUCUUGCUUACUCCUUGAUUCGAGCAUUUUAUAUCAUUGCAUUGAAACUAACCAACCGCGUCCUACGCGUCUGCUUGCUAGUAUAUGCAAAAAAAAAAAACUUUGAUGAAAUCUAGAAGUUGCGUUUCAAAUUAAGCCACAGAGAACAUAUUCCAAACUUUACACACUUCUGCUUUAAUGAUGUGGAAACUAAAUAACAACUUGAGCUCUGUUUUGGACCCUGCCUGAGCAUAUAUAAUCAUCUGUGUAGAACUUGACUUCUUAAUGCAAUGUGUCAGUAUCAGCACAGCAUCAGCUAAAAAAAUUACUAAUCAGAAUGAAGAAUAAAAACAUGGUGCACUGACUUUUAUGCUUGCUUGCCUACUCAAUGCUCCAUGAAGCCAACUUUUUUAACUAUUGGUGUACAAAGCUGAAGGGAACUUUGCAUUUGCAUUGUACAUACUGGUCCUCCUUUUCAGCACCAGUACUCCUACCACUGUUGGUUCCAAUGGUAAAGCAAGCAUAUAAACUGGUGCCUCCCAUGAUGACUAAGUUUAGAUAAAACAUGAAAAGCUUUUUACAACAUGUGAUUGGAUUUGUCUAAAUACUCUGGAUGAAGCAUCUGAUCUGAGGAUGUUCUGAGGGCCGGGACUCCUAUUUCGGAGUUAAAAAGCUUCCAGGAGAGUACAAUAAUUGGGGAUUCUGUUUUAACCUUAUCAACAUUAACAUCAAAAAGAAAAGUUUUGGAGGUAUACAAAAUAUUAUCAUUAUUUUAGCUGGUACUAAUAAUGUGGAUGAUCUUUUAAUAAAAAUUUGUAUGUAAAGGUCUACGAAUUGCGGCAGAUUUAGAAAGUAUAUGGGACAUUCUUAUGCUGCAAGUUAGCAAGUAUGCGCAAAAAAAAAAGGUAGUAUGAUUAAAGAAGCCCAAUUGGGACAAAACUUUGUGUCAUUAGGCUCCAUCAAGACCGUACAUUACAAUACUUGUAUAUUUGCAUGAACUACGAUCGAUAUGGCAACAUAUGCGUACAUGCGAAAAUAUAUUUAUAGACGCAAUGACAAGUGUCUGCACACAAUAGAAUACUUGGAUUAGAGGAGUGGCCACUAGCAUAGUGACAAAAAGCUUUAGAAAGUUCUUCCAAAUUAAAUAAAUGUUGUGUGAACUAUUAAUUAGUUUACAUUAUCAUGUAGAUGAGAGCAUACAUAUUCAAAAACUGGCGGAAUGCCAUCUACUUAUCAUUCUGAAAAUAAAAUGCACCAAAACGAUUUUACAUCAUUACGGUGCAACGGAAUUCUUGCAAGCAUCAUUGCUGAAAGAUCAGCGAGCAAAUGCACGGUAAAUUUCUUUAUUAUGCUAUAGCUAUAUAUGUGGGAUUCCCCUAACCUGGUGAAUUAAAAUGGAUCAGAGAGCCCUCGUAGCCAUAUGCCAUAGGAAAAGGAUAUCACCAAGAUAAAGGACACUUAUCCACACGACAUGAAGCUUUCAUUCAUAAUGAUGAUUCUGGCUGCAAAUAUAUAUGACAAAUUGCAGCCGUUCGUGUAUGACAGUAACCAACGAUAUUUGCAUCCUUCUCCCUCCAAUUGCACAUGGAUAUGUAUAUUUUUAGGAGUCGACGUCGACGUAAUUAGCUCAGCAAAGACUCCUACAUGGUAGUUUUUACCAACCUACUCGAGAUCUCCUAUCAUGAGUCGCCAUUAAUCUAGCUGAUGAUCAUGACUAGCUCCCUUUGCAUUUUAAAGGAUGCUCUCUCUCAAAUCUCUCUCUGCCAAUGCUAAUGGCUGCCACGGCAUUAACCAGCAGUUCAGCUGCUACUUAGCACACCUUUUUUCCUCCUUAUAUUACUGGCUCUAUAUAUCUGAUCACACAUUCACACCAAGUGUUCGCUAAUGGCUAGUGUUAUAUGGACAUAUGGUCCCCCUCCUGCCUUAAUUAUCCAUUCUUUUCGAGUGAUUAAGCAGCAACUGGAAGUAAGUUAAUUAAGCUAUAUAAUUGCGCAACGAGAAGAGAAGAGGUCUAUGUGCGUUCUAGAACCGCACUAUUCUCAUGGUGCGCGCGCGUGCGCGAGGCGGACAGCGACGAUCACGCGCGCGCGUCGAACGCGUGAGCGCGCACUGCUCGCUCUCGCCGGUGUCCGGACCCGCCGGGCCGUCUGGCCGCCGCCUCCGCCUCCGCCGGCGGCCCGUAUGAACGCUCCGGCCUUUACAUUUAUCGUGUUGAACCUGUCAAACUUGCAUUCACGCCUCCCGCAAGGCGGCGAGGCAGUCGUAGCAACCUACUGUCCCGUCUUAAAAUAGAAGUAUUUUUAGCAUAGUGUCAAAUUAAAUAUUUUUAACUAUUAAUAUAAAAAACUCAAUCAUGUAAAAUUGGUGUUACUAGAUUUGUCAUUGAACAAACUAUCAUAAUAUGUAACUUUUUUUAAAACAUAUUACUUUUAAUAAAUAUUAUUGGUUAAAAUAGCAUCUCGAAGACUGUGUCGGAGUUAAAAAUAUUUAUAUUUUGAGGCCCCACAUGUCAGCCUCCUUUAGGUCGUCUCUUUUUAUAUCCUAUACGUGUUGGAACCGGCCGGCUACGGAUGCGAUGCACGACUGUUCCACUAGUAUAAUCUAGCGUUUGUAUUAGUGCAUAGUUAACGGUGGCUAGUGACUAAUGUACUGUACAGUACGUGUGGUCUGCUAAUUGCUCAUCGCUAAGCUAGCUCGACCCUGACACGAUUAUAUUGAGCCGAAUUAGCGUCUUUGACUCGAACUGCUUUCUUCUACAGUUCUGCUGCUACACGUAUACGUACUGGUGCUGGCUGCCAGUCUGCCACGAUCGGACGUACACUACAUUUGUUUUAUCUGCAAACCAUUAAAAAAUGCGUACAAAGUCAGUACAAGUCGCCAGCUUAAUUAGUUUAGCUUAACCGUAGUUUAAUACUUACUCCGGCCGUCACGUGCCGACCUGACGUUAGUAGCUUUUGGACUGGAGAUGGGUCCCACACGUUUGACUGACGGACCCGACCCGGGUCGAGUCGAUGCGUGGCGUCAGAUUUCUUUACUCCAAGCGACCUCUGGUCAAAAUGCUGAGUAGUAUUAUCCAAACGUGCAGGAUAAUUAAUUAGGGUGUCAAAACUAAUUGUUCCAUGUUUGGAAGCUUUUGCCCAUGGCGACAAAUGGUUAGGGCUGCAAAGAGUGUGCAAGUGGGGAUCAAGUGACGAUCAUGCAUUUUGGUACAGGACAAUGCCUUUGACCUUCUGGGGCGUUAGGUGCCAACUGAUGAUGAUGCAUCCUGCAAAAAAAAAAAGGGAGGGGGACUUUAGUUUGUUCGAUCGAUCGUAGUGUGCCGAAUUAUAUUUAUUUAGGGUUUUUAAGUUGUGUUGAUGUCAAUGCAAGGUGGUUACAAAAAUGAGGACUUGUUGGGAGCACUCAUUUGGCUUCUAGAAGAGAUUUUGGUAGGGUUAGUUGGUGAUUUUCUGAUCAAAUUUGUGCAGAAAAGGAAUUAAACUGAUCGAUCGUCCGAUUUAAUUAGUUUUUUUUGUGAGGAUUCAACUAGUUAGUUUGAAGCUUGAAAAUGUUCACAUCUUUCGAAUAAAAGAAACUAGUCUGAGAAUUAAUUAUUUAUGUUUACACACUGCUAUAUAUUGAUAUAUAUCGACGGCACUGAUUAAAUAUGCAGCCACAAAUUUUCCUCAAAACAAGUAUGCUGCCACAAGUUAAGUAUAUAUACUUCCUUUUGAAACCUCACAAGUUAAUACUAAAUCCACUCAGAACAUGUAGUGCUUACCCAUUACUGAUGUUCCUGUGAAUGUAUAUGUUGAUCUACAGACUGGUCACUGUAACUGCUGAAGAAAUUAGAUGUACUGGGAUUGCAUAUAUGCCAGCCGAGAAGCGAGAAUGUAUUGAUCACACGCAGCAUUUCUUUUGUCAGGUAGGGUUACAUAUAUAAGGCUCAUUGGUUCGAGUUGCUCAAGAGUAAUGAAGAAUUUUUGUGUGUGCCACUAUAGGACAUAUAGUACAUAUGUAAUAUCCGGAGAUAACACCAUUUCUCUUGUUUAAACUUUGAAUAAACCAAGCGUGCAAUGAAUAUACUACUACAGAAGUCAAAUAGUGUUGAGUAUGCAAAGAAGGAUGCCACUAGAUUGAACUGGUUUGACUCAAAACAAAUUUUGUUAUUUUAUUUUUACUUAAGGACAAAAUUGAGUAGGUGCAUCAGGGAGGGAGUACUAAAGUUGUGUGAUGUGGACGAAGUAAAGUGUGUGCAUGAUUCUCCCACUUAGAUUAAAAUCUUGUUUGUCACAGUUACACACAUAAAUGUAGUAUCUUUAGAAUUUUAGUGAGACCUACGGAAAUUAUUUUUCGGCUCCAAUCUUAAGUGUGUGUUAAAAGUAACAUAUUCAUGCAUAUGCUCCGUGUGCAUUUUUUAAUGUGAUCGAAAAAAAAAAGGUAUAGCAGUUUAAAAAUAUAUAGUCCCUCCAUUUAGACUCAUCACUAUUAUGAUUUGAUUUUCUUUUCUUUCAUUGAGGGGGACGGAGAGAGUAGGGGAAAAGGUAUAAACAUUCUUUUUUUUAGAACUGGUAUAAACAUUCUAGAAUGUUCCUUAUCAGCAAGCAGGUCCUAGAAAAUUAUAGUACCAUAUUUUCUUUGGAGAAUAUAGUUCUGUGUUUAGUUGUUUAGGAAAAAAAAUUUGACGUAUACGGACACAUGUUUAAAGUAUUAAGCGUAGACUAAUAACAAAAUAAAUUAUAGAUUGCACCUGUAAACUGCGAGACGAAUCUAUUAAGUCUAACUAAUCCGUCAUUAGCAAUUAUUUACUGUAGCAGCACAUUGUCAAAUUAUGGCAUAAUUAGGCUCAAAAGAUUUGUGUCGCAAUUUACAUGCAAACUGUGUAAUUGGUUUUUUUAUUCACAUUUAAUGCUUCAUAUAUGUAUACGAAUAUUUGAUGUGACGGAAAAGUUGAAACUUUAAAGGGAACUAAACGCUCCAGUACUAUUGGUUGCAAACUUUGAUAAAUUUAGUGGUUUAGAGAGAAGGCUAGAGGAGAUCCUUUGACUGGAGCAUCGUCAUCGUGGUCAAACUCGACAAUGCAUACAACAAGCUAUAGUAACUGAUUAGCUAGCUACUA
rnacentral:lncRNA from 1 species